rnacentral:rRNA from 1 species
AUAUCAAUAAGCGGAGGAAAAGAAACUAACAAGGAUGCGCUUAGUAACGGCGAGCGAACCGCGCAAAGCCCAACUUGAAAAUCUCCCUCGGAGAAUUGUAGUCUAUAGAAGUACCCUCUGCAACGGGCUGAGCUAAAGUCUCCUGGAAAGGGGCGUCAGAGAGGGUGAGAACCCCGUAGCUUACGCUUAGUUGCCUCACGAGGUGCUUUCAAAGAGUCGGGUUGCUUGGGAAUGCAGCCCAAAUUUGGUGGUAAAUCCCAUCUAAGGCUAAAUAUUGGCGAGAGACCGAUAGCGCACAAGUA